rnacentral:tRNA from 2 species
GCCGGGGUAGCCAAGUGGCCAAAGGCGCAGGACUUAAGAUCCUGUCCCGCAGGGGUUCCGGAGUUCAAAUCUCCGCCCCGGCA